CAGUUUGAACAACCUUAGUAACGAAGUUAGGCAUCUGGAUGCAUCAUGAAGUGAAAACGUCACGCAAGUACAAUCGAAUGUCAUUUACUUUCUUAGAAGGUGUUGUGACUGUCGACCUGACCCAUUUACUUACGUAAGUCUUCCUUGAACCCUUUCGACGUAUACUCAAGGCUUCUUUACAAGGUUGUAAGAAUCUCGUAGAGGUCGACUGCGUAGUUCAAAAACCGGUCACUACCCGCGGCCGCGUGGCCGGGUUUAAACCCGGCCAGGAUUAGGGUGGCAUGCUAGUCUAAGGGAUAUUGGCAGACUACGCGAAUAAGGAGCAGGGGUAAUAGACGUUGGUCUUUUUUUUUGUUUCGCUAGUGUAGAGGCGCGUUUUUUCUCCCAGCUCCAGUUGCGGGCGCAGUCUAGUAGGAGGGGGCGGGGGCAGUCUAGCAGGAGGGGACCGGUGGCGAGAUUGACGUAGUGCCUCGAGCAGCGGCGGCGGCAUCGGCAGCGUUGAGCGGCAGUAGUGGCAACUUCGAGGAGCGGCAUCAACAAGGGACGGAGCGGCAGCACCCAACGUUGGAACAGGCAGCGACAACACCGGUACAAGCAGCUCGAGACCGUCCCAUGACGGGUACCGACGGCCCAGACACGGCACCAGCCAACUUCAUUAGCAGUUUGUGCCAACAUCGUGGGGAGGUAUUGCCAACAUCGUGGGUGAGCCUGUCACGAGACAAGCAACUCGAGGCCGCUCCCAUUGGCGGGAACCGGCGAACCUGCCACGGCACCGUCCAACUUCGUUAGCGGCUGGUGCCAACAUCGUGGUUGGUAUUGCCAACAUCGUGGGGUAAGUUAGUAUCGAGGUCGUUUUUAUUCUACCAAGAUCGUUUUUGUACCAAUGUUGUUUGUUUUCCAUACCAAGGUCGUUUUUGUCUCAUACCAAGGUCGUUUUUUGUACCAAAGCGUAUCGUAACCGUUACUGGUUCUUUUGUUUUUUUUAUGUACCAAGGUCGUUUUUGUUUCAUACCAAGGUCGUUUUUGUUUUUUUUUACCAAAGCGUAUCGUAACCGUUACUGGCUGUUUUGUUUUUUUUAUGUACCAAGGUCGUUUGUUUUUUGUACCAAGGUCGUUUUUGUUUCACACCAAGGUCGUUUUUGUUUGUCUAACGGCAGCGACCUAGCGUCGUUUUUUUAACCAGGCAAGGUCGUUUUUUUGACCCAGCGGCGGCUAGGCAUCAACGGCCGGGGUCGUCGUGCGUGGUGGCCAACGUUGUAGGGCCGCCCGACGAGGGUCGCGCGUGGUGGCCACGACCGCACACCCAGAACAUCGAGAGUAGGUUAGGUAGGUACCACUACAAACGAUCUACUUCUUCUACCCCCUUCGUCCUCCCAACACCUCUUCUCUCGCUACCGCCUCCUCGUCGUGGCCUCUGGUUUCGCACACCCCCUCCUCGUCGUAGCCUCUGGUUUCAAACCCCGCUACCUCGCUACCUCGUCGCACUCUUCUCUAUCUACUCUCCUCCUUC
rnacentral:rRNA from 1 species